rnacentral:lncRNA from 1 species
CGGAUGAGCCGAGCGGCGGAGGUGAUGGUCCAGCACGUGGAGAACCUGAAGCGGCACCACCUGCGGGAGCACGCCGAGCUGGAGGAGAUGAAGCGCCUGAUCCAGCAAAACUCCCGCAACCGGCAGCUGGCCGAGACCCAGGAUGACGCGGAGCCACGGCUGAGGCCUCACCCCCUGAUGCGAUCCUUCCAGCAGGGCUUGGCUGGCAGGAGGCCGUUCUCUAGCACCAGCUCGAAUUCGGCACUGGUUCCCCUCCAGCUCAAGAGGCGUCUGCCCGCCGCAGAGUCAGCAUCGCCGUCAUCCCCAAGCAGCUCUUGGUGCCAGCACGGACGGCCGAGCGUCCCCCGCCAGCGAGCCGGAGGGGUCCCAGCGCCCGGCCAGCACCCAGAGGAGCGAGCUGGAGCCACCGGGCCGGGGCAGCACCGUGAGCGGGGAGCCGGCGGCUGA